AUUAUCCUACUAUUCAUUCAAAUAUUUAAAGGUGUAAAAUUUGGUUUCUUUGUUAAAUUGUUUUCUGUAUUCCGAUUUUCGCUCCACUCCGCGCAAAACCUCCGUUUUCUCCGAUUCCGGCUACUGCGUUGUCCACCGGUAAUCGCAGCACCUCCUGUUGACGCGUCAUCAUUUUCAUCCAGUCAACAGUUCAUCCAAGGGGGGAGACGGAAAAAGUUGAGGAGUUUGUGAGAGCAUUGAACUCUAAAGGUGUCCAAACAGAACACAUUUUACAUUCUACUCAAUUUCUCGACUUUUGCUAGUACAAGAGAGGAAACGAGAGGGCGCAUAGCACUGGCAUAACAGAAUCUGUUAACAUCAAUGCAAUUCCGCAGACUGAAAAUGAGACCAAUAUUCCUUGACAAGCUUUCUAAACAAGGACUCUUCUCUCAUCAUCAAGCUCAUUGGCUCGUCAUACUCCACCAACUUUCCUGGAAAUACAAUCAAAAGCUUUUCAUUCUUUGAAGAAAUCGAAGUCGUAAAAAGACAUUGGUGCUCGAAAGAGGGAGUUCAUCAAUUGUAAAAAUAAAUAUUUUGAAGAAUGAAGACCCAAAGCUACUAUAAAGGAACUUCUGAUCAACAUGAAAAGUAUUGAAGAAGCUCCGAUCCA